AAAAAAUCACUAUUACCUCGAGUCCUUGGGAGCUGGUGUCAAAAGAUUCACAAGCUUCGGUUACAGUGUUAACCGAGGCAUAAACGUUUGAAUUAAUUGUCAUUUACUUUUUUUUUAUUUUUCUCUGAGUACCUAAGGCAUCGGUGUGCUGAUAACCGAGGUAGUAUCACUUGGUUAACUUCAGAAAUUUUAACCUACGCUCUUCAUUCUCUUAGCCUCGCGUUCUUCUUCUUUCUUGCGUUCUCCUUCUUCUUCCUUAUGCAAGAGUCGUUCUUCAUCUUCCUUGAGGCCAUUGCUGCUUCGUCUUCCUCACAGGCUAUUGUUGCCACCUCUCGCCUCUACCUCGUCGCUGCUGUCAACAUCUUCGUCGACGUGCAAUCGCCUCCGCCUCACUCGUAGCACCUCUACCUCUGUCUUCGCGCCUCUGUUGUGACUGUGGCAGCCACGCUGGUUCUGAUCGGCGAUUCUGGCGUGGGGGAAGUCCAGCCUUCUCUCGCGCUUCAAGCGGAACGAGUUCAAUUUGGAGUCCAAGUCUACAAUAGGAGUUGAGUUCGCCACCAAGAGUUUGAAUAUCGAUUCCAAGGUCAUCAAGGCUCAGAUUUGGGACACCGCUGGCCAGGAAAGGUUGGUCUUUCAUCUCUCAAUUUAGGAAUAUGUCCAAAAUUAAGUACACUCAGCAUUGAAGCACCUUAUAUGGUUUCACUUGAGUUGAAAGGAUGUGGUGUACUAUCUGAAGCAUUCAUUAAUUGUCCACUCUUAACAUCUCUCGAUGCUUCCUUUUACAGCCAACUAACUAAUGACUGCUUGUCUGCUACAACUGUCUCAUGCCCACUGAUUGAGUCAUUGAUACUGAUGUCAUGCCCAUCAAUUGGUUCAGACGGUCUUCAAUCUUUAUUUUGUCUUCCAAAUUUGAUUGUUCUUGACUUAUCAUACACUUUCUUGGUGAACUUGCAACCUGUUUUUGAUUCUUGUUUACAACUAAAGGUGUUAAAGUUGCAAGCAUGCAAAUAUCUCACUGAAACAUCACUUGAACCACUUUACAAAGGAGGCGUCUUAAAAUACUGUAUGAAUUUUCUAAUCCCAAGUUCACUUUUUCUUUCAUUAUGUUAUACAGAUGAAGGCGUCUUUAAAGGGUGAUUUUUAUAAGCCGACAUUUGGUGGCUUUGUGGACUUGGAUUUGACAAAGGAUAAGAAAAUUUCUCUUAGGAGUUUGAUUAAUCACUUAGUAGUGGAAAGUUUUGGAGAAGGAGGAAAGACAAUCAUAUUGUCUCGAGUUUAUCCACAACUUGCAGUGUUAAAGCAAGCUCAUCUUUUUGUGUUCAACAAUGGCACUGAACCAAUCACCAUGGAAAAGCUAAAAGGAUGGGACAUGAAAUCUGCUCAAAUAAAAUGAUUAGCUAGAAAUCAAUUAGUAUGCAGAAGAUAAUUUAUACCUUAUCAUAUACAUUGUAAACAAAAACAAAAAGGUGAAACAGAAUCUUCUUCACAUUUUUUUUAUCAGAGAAGUACUAAAAGGAUCAUGUUUAGAAAAAUGUGAUCAGAAGAUACUGUGUUAGGCUUUUAUGUUAUUUUACUUUAAUAGAUUAAGAGUUUCAAAUUGUGCUACCCCAUGCUUAUUAAAUUUGUGCUGUAAUUCUCAUA